GAUGAACGCUCGCUACAGGCUUAACACAUGUAAGUCGAGGGGAAACGACAUCGAAAGCUUGCUUUUGAUGGGCGUCGACCGGCGCACGGGUGAGUAACGCGUAUCCAACCUGCCCAUCACUUGGGAAUAACCUUGCGAAAGUAAGACUAAUACCCAAUGACAUCCCACGAAGACAUCUGAAUGGGAUUAAAGAUUUAUCGGUGAUGGAUGGGGAUGCGUCUGAUUAGCUUGUUGGCGGGGUAACGGCCCACCAAGGCAACGAUCAGUAGGGGUUCUGAGAGGAAGGUCCCCCACAUUGGAACUGAGACACGGUCCAAACUCCUACGGGAGGCAGCAGUGAGGAAUAUUGGUCAAUGGGCGAGAGCCUGAACCAGCCAAGUAGCGUGCAGGAUGACGGCCCUAUGGGUUGUAAACUGCUUUUAUAAGGGAAUAAAGUGGGUCUCGUGAGACUUUUUGCAUGUACCUUAUGAAUAAGGACCGGCUAAUUCCGUG
rnacentral:rRNA from 1 species